rnacentral:rRNA from 1 species
ACACUCCUACGGGAGGCAGCAGUGGGGAAUAUUGGACAAUGGGCGCAAGCCUGAUCCAGCCAUGCCGCGUGAGUGAUGAAGGCCCUAGGGUUGUAAAGCUCUUUCACCGGUGAAGAUAAUGACGGUAACCGGAGAAGAAGCCCCGGCUAACUUCGUGCCAGCAGCCGCGGUAAUACGAAGGGGGCUAGCGUUGUUCGGAUUUACUGGGCGUAAAGCGCACGUAGGCGGACUAUUAAGUCAGGGGUGAAAUCCCGGGGCUCAACCCCGGAACUGCCUUUGAUACUGGUAGUCUUGAGUUCGAGAGAGGUGAGUGGAAUUCCGAGUGUAGAGGUGAAAUUCGUAGAUAUUCGGAGGAACACCAGUGGCGAAGGCGGCUCACUGGCUCGAUACUGACGCUGAGGUGCGAAAGCGUGGGGAGCAAACAGGAUUAGAUACCCGGGUAGUCCC